rnacentral:rRNA from 1 species
AGCAGCCGCGGUAAUUCCAGCUCCAAUAGCGUAUAUUAAAGUUGUUGCAGUUAAAAAGCUCGUAGUUGAAUUUCGAGAUCAAAUUGUUGGUCGUGCCUCGGUACGUACUGGUAAUUUUGGUUUCUCCCUUCUGAAGAACCAUGAUGUCAUUAAUUUGGUGUCUUGGGGAAUCAGGACUGUUACUUUGAAAAAAUUAGAGUGUUUAAAGCAGGCUCGCGCUUGAAUACAUUAGCAUGGAAUAAUGAAAUAGGACGUUUGAUUCUAUUUUGUGGUUUCUAGGAUCGACGUAAUGAUUAAUAGGGAUAGUUGGGGGGCAUUAGUAUUCAAUUGUCAGAGGUGAAAUUCUUGGAUUUAUUGAAGACUAACUACUGCGAAAGCAUUUGCCAAGGAUGUUUUCAUUAAUCAAGAACGAAGUUAGGAGAUCGAAGACGAUCAGAUACCGUCGUAGUCUUAACCAUAAACUAUGCCGACUAGGGAUCGGAUGAUGUUAAUUUUUA